rnacentral:ncRNA from 1 species
UCAGCCUAAGGGCAAACUUGUUAAAAGGCAGGGACGCAAAGCCAUCGGAUCUAAAGCGCUUAUGAGUACUAUGACAGCCUGGCUGCCGCA